AGGUGGGGCCGCUCCUCGGCAGGGCUGCCGGCUCCAAAUGGCGCCCAGACAGCGGCUCUCCUGCUGCGGCGGAGCGCCGGUGUGUCGUGAAGGAUGAUCCCGAGGAGGGCUUUUUUCUGGAGUGUCGGCGCUGCUGCUGGAGAUGAAAGGAAGGAGCCUAGGGAAUCUUGGGGAGACCUCCAUCGACUGCAAGCCGCCAAAUGUUACCCGUCUUGAAAAUUGCAGUAACAAGAGGCUGCAGUGACACAGGUGCAGCAGUCCUUGCCUUCCCUCUGCACUUCCUAGCUGUGAACAGGUUAUCAUGUUGAAGAAAAAUGGCUGGGGUUUGAGCAACUGAUAUUUUUUUGCUCCGUAUUACUACAAUGCACCAACCAAUGGUAGCCUGGGGUUCAAAUUUCUAACAACCAGAACUUUUUGGUGUAUUAAUUAGAAAAUGACCUUCACUAUGUUCUUGUACUGCUGUUUCCUUCAUUACAGGAAUUGUCCUCAUCUUCCAACUGUUUAACUGAAAUAUAGGCAUCAAUAUUCACAGUGCUUGUAUUUGGCACCUUGAAGAAAGUCUAUGGGCUGGAUGGAUAUUCAGCUAGAUGGGACAGAACCAAAAGCCUUGAAGUUUUGAACUCUUUGAUACCAAGUCUGCUCCAGUUCCCAGCCAGAGAGAUUCAUUUAUCCCAGCCAUUCACCUCUCUCCCUCCCAUGCCAUUUCUGGCAAGGUGGAAGCAAAUGUCUAGCAUACACAUUCUUUCCCCAGCUGGAUUCAGGUAUAAAACUUUCUGACAAGGAAUAGCAGUAAAGGGACCAAAGCUAGCUCUGGAGAUGAACUUAAGGCCCUUGAAAUCUGUAGCAUGCCAAGACAGCUUUAUAAUUUUUUUUUUGUUUUAAUUUAAACUAAAAAAAAACAUAGAAGGAUGGGCUGCUGAGAUCAUCUGUCACACCAUCUGUGGUUGCCUAGCAGAAUUACUCCAGCCUUGAGCUGAAGAAGCUCCCAUUUGCAGCUGAACUGCAGUUGGGGGUUUUAUUAAUACAUCUCUCAUUUAUAUAGCACCUUUCACUCUCAAGGAUCCCAAAGUACCUGUUAAAGGAUAAAGUUGAGGACUGAAAACUGUUAGAGGAGUAGUAGAAGUGGGAAAAUUCCCUCCCUCCUGACCAGUGGCUUCAAAACUUUUCAACAAAGCAUUUAUUGCUGAAUUUGUUAUUCCCUUUUGUUCUUCAGCACAUGCCUUAAUGGGAGGUUGGGACCUUUGAGGCCUUGUGCAGCCGUGAGCUGAUUUGUUCCUGUGGAGACAAUUGCAUAAAUGUUUUAUAUCUAUUGUAUGUGUUGCUUCACAAAAUUUCUAAGACUCUGUUAUCAAGCUUUAUACAUAUUCAUACUUACAUAUAUACACUCAGAGAACAGAAAUUAAAAAGAGGAAGAAACAACUGUGAUCAGCUGGCAUUCAGAAAAAUUAAAAAAGAGAGACAUAAAACAUGUGGAGUAAUCAGUAGUUUUCAGUCAAAUGGCAUUUAAAUGCUGCACUGAUGCAUAACCUGCCCUCCUGUUCUACGAAGUGGGAGGACAGGUGAUAUGUCAGCUGUGCUCUGCCAUGUAACUACAGUAGAAGGGCUGAGUUAAUGACAGACACAAGGCUUUGGAUGAAUGCUAACAUGCUGCUAUUUCUAUGCUGAGAUGAAGUAGCAGGGCCUGGAUUUAUCAUUAAAGGAGACCCAAGAGGCUCCCACUGAGCCAGCUGCUAGGGCCUUAAAACAUAUGUCGCACCCUUCAGCUGUUCAUCAGUACAAAAGGCUUCCAUCUCAAAGCACUUGACCUUGUUAGCCUCAGCGGUGUCAGUGAUAUUUUCAACAGGGAGACAACAGAUCAAGUAUGAAGAGGAAAAUCUCUUAAGGAGUGUGUGCAGACCACAGCAAAAUCACCUCAGAAACAGCCUGUGGAUAACGACAGCUAUUUCUGAUGUUUAUGAUUUGUAAAGCAGGCGGGAGUUUUACAAAGCAGUCGUAGAUCAUGGAAAAAAAAAAAAAAACACCAAAUAGCAAGAGAAUAAAAAUAAGUCAGUGUCAAAUAAGCUGACUUCCUAAAUUCUGAAAUUUUCAAGCCUUUUUCUUUUUUUACACCCAUCAGUUGUUGUAUUCUUACUGACUUCGAGGGAAGUUCUGCUUGAGUAAGGGCUGAGUGGGGAGUUCUGAAACCAGAGGGAAUUACUGCAAGAAUUACAGCUGUGGAAUCACUCUGACAUUUGCAGGUUGUAUUAACACGAUGGUGGUACUGUGAUACAUUAGCAGAUGUGAUACUGAUGCACAGUGCUCCGAAAGGAUAGGGCAUCCUCUCAGAUGCACCAAGAGAACAGAGAAUUGGAGAUAAUCAAAUUCCAUGGAGGAAGUCACCAUUUUCCUCCAAAUCUAUCCACUUAAUAAUUAAUGCCCUUCACACCUAGGAUUUUGUGAAGAUAGUUUGCACAUAUUUAAUGCGUCGAUGUAAAGGUGUACCUUUCCAUUUUCUCCCUCUGAAAUAAAAAUGCUGUAUUUGUUUUCUUUUAGUUUCAUUCCCUACUUGUACGGACUCAUAUAACACCAUCCUUUAAAAGUAACCAGAAUUAAACACUCCACUUUUUACACAUCUGUCCUGGAAGGAAGCAGAAAAAGGACAGAGAGCAUGAAAAGAAAAAAAAAAAACAACAAAAACAAUGACAGAUGUUAGUUAGGUUGCUUAACACUGUGCCAGAAGGCACUCAGAUGCCGUGAAGCUGAGCUCAGUCUGAAACCUUCACUACUAAAUCAUGCAUCUGAGAUGGACCUUCUGAAUUACGAGCUUUUAUUAAAAAUC